AGUGAACGCUGGCGGUAGGCCUAACACAUGCAAGUCGAACGGCAGCACAGUAAGAGCUUGCUCUUACGGGUGGCGAGUGGCGGACGGGUGAGGAAUACAUCGGAAUCUACUUUUUCGUGGGGGAUAACGUAGGGAAACUUACGCUAAUACCGCAUACGACCUACGGGUGAAAGCAGGGGAUCUUCGGACCUUGCGCGAUUGAAUGAGCCGAUGUCGGAUUAGCUAGUUGGCGGGGUAAAGGCCCACCAAGGCGACGAUCCGUAGCUGGUCUGAGAGGAUGAUCAGCCACACUGGAACUGAGACACGGUCCAAGCUCCUACGGGAGGCAGCAGUGGGGAAUAUUGGACAAUGGGCGCAAGCCUGAUCCAGCCAUACCGCGUGGGUGAAGAAGGCCUUCGGGUUGUAAAGCCAUUUUGUUGGGAAAGAAAAGCAGCAGGUUAAUACCCCGCUGUUCUGACGGUACCCAAAGAAUAAGCACCGGCUAACUUCGUG
rnacentral:rRNA from 1 species